rnacentral:misc_RNA from 1 species
UCGAGACCCAAAAGAGGAUUGGAAGACUUUUGAUAACCCGUGAACAUGCGGCGGCAGCAGCUGCCGAUAAAAACCGUUCAUCUGUUGCUCCCUUCUCGAGAGGAGGAGCUUCGAUAAAAAGAUGGAUGAAACAAAUCAAUGGGCGCAGUGUUGCGCCAAGUAAGUGGUUGGCAGCGGCAUUGACGGCUAUCCGUAGAAGCUUUGAUUGGCUUGGCGGAGUGCUGUUGGUGCUUCAAAAGCAUUGUAUGACUCCCGGCAAUGGAUAUCUUGGCUCUUGCAUCGAUGAAGAGCGCAGCGAAAUGCGAUACGUGGUGUGAAUUGCAGAAUCCCGUGAACCAUCGAGUUUUUGAACGCAAGUUGCGCCCGAGGCCAAUUGGCCAAGGGCACGUCCGCCUGGGCGUCAAGCGUUACGUCGCUUCAGCCCGCACCAACUUCGGUGUCGGGUUGAAUGCGGAGAUUGACCCGUCGUGCACAUGUAUGUGCGGCGGGUUGAAGCGCAUAUUGCCUUCCUCUUGGCUGAUGAUUGAUAAAGGGGUGGUUGGAUGCUACCGGUAUGCCCAUGAUGUCAUAUCAUCGGUGUCGUCAGGAGGGUAUGUACACACAUCAAUAGUAGAUCACCUGACAAAUUUGUCGUUGGUGGCACAUUGAAGUGCGACCCCAGGAUGGGCGGGAUGACCCGCUGAGUUUAAG